AUACCAAUCUAGCCUGGCUAGGUGUUGGGCUUCGCCGACUGGCGGGCCUUAAAACCAGUGGCGGUGCUCUUAGGCUCUACGCGUAGUAAUUUUCUCGCUAUAGGGUCCUGGGAGUUGCUGGCCAGCAACCCCAAAUUUUUCUA
rnacentral:misc_RNA from 2 species